rnacentral:rRNA from 1 species
GGGUUGUGAGGUUAAGCGACUAAGCGUACACGGUGGAUGCCCUGGCAGUCAGAGGCGAUGAAGGGCGUGCUAAUCUGCGAUAAGCGCCGGUAAGGUGAUAUGAACCGUUAUAACCGGCGAUACCCGAAUGGGGAAACCCAGUGUGAUUCGUCACACUAUCAUUAACUGAAUCCAUAGGUUAAUGAGGCGAACCGGGGGAACUGAAACAUCUAAGUACCCCGAGGAAAAGAAAUCAACCGAGAUUCCCCCAGUAGCGGCGAGCGAACGGGGAGGAGCCCAGAGCCUGAAUCAGCAUGUGUGUUAGUGGAAGCGUCUGGAAAGGCGCGCGAUACAGGGUGACAGCCCCGUACACAAAAGCGCAUGUGCUGUGAGCUCGAUGAGUAGGGCGGGACACGUGGUAUCCUGUCUGAAUAUGGGGGGACCAUACUCCAAGGCUAAAUACUCCUGACUGACCGAUAGUGAACCAGUACCGUGAGGGAAAGGCGAAAAGAACCCCGGCGAGGGGAGUGAAAAAGAACCUGAAACCGUGUACGUACAAGCAGUGGGAGCCCCACCACCAAAGCAUUCUCUGGUGUUGAAGGCCCUGCAAAGCAGCAUCGCGGUGGCGGAGCGUCGUUUGCGACGCCCAACACACAAAACAAGCGGUGAGUGCUUUGGGGUGGGGUGACUGCGUACCUUUUGUAUAAUGGGUCAGCGACUUAUAUUCUGUAGCAA